GUAGGUGAACCUGCGGAAGGAUCAUUAACGAAUUGUUGGACUGUGCUGGCUCUUGCAUGUGCACGUCCAUAAUCCAUUACACCUGUGCACUUUAGACUUCAAGCCUGCUUAACUGCAGGUGAGAGGUAUUACUCCACACGCUUUCUUAUGUAUGUGACAAUUGCUAAGACACUUUGUGUCGAUUAAUAAACAACUUUCAACAACG
rnacentral:misc_RNA from 1 species